AAUCCUAGAACCUGAGACCCAGAAU
rnacentral:piRNA from 1 species